rnacentral:rRNA from 1 species
CUGUAAGCCUGUGAAGGUGGCCUGUGAGGGUUGCUGGAGGUAUCAGAAGUGCGAAUGCUGACAUAAGUAACGAUAAAGCGGGUGAAAAGCCCGCUCGCCGGAAGACCAAGGGUUCCUGUCCAACGUUAAUCGGGGCAGGGUGAGUCGACCCCUAAGGCGAGGCCGAAAGGCGUAGUCGAUGGGAAACGGGUUAAUAUUCCCGUACUUGGUGUUACUGCGAAGGGGGGACGGAGAAGGCUAUGUUGGCCGGGCGACGGUUGUCCCGGUUUAAGCGUGUAGGUGUGUGUUCCAGGUAAAUCCGGUUCACUUUAACACUGAGGCGUGAUGACGAGGCACUACGGUGCUGAAGCAACAAAUGCCCUGCUUCCAGGAAAAGCCUCUAAGCAUCAGGUAACAUCAAAUCGUACCCCAAACCGACACAGGUGGUCAGGUAGAGAAUACCAAGGCGCUUGAGAGAACUCGGGUGAAGGAACUAGGCAAAAUGGUGCCGUAACUUCGGGAGAAGGCACGCUGACACGUAGGUGAAGUGAUUUACUCAUGGAGCUGAAGUCAGUCGAAGAUACCAGCUGGCU